rnacentral:rRNA from 1 species
CCUACGGGUGGCAGCAGUGAGGAAUAUUGGUCAAUGGGCGAGAGCCUGAACCAGCCAAGUCGCGUGAAGGAUGACGGCCCUAUGGUUUGUAAACUUCUUUUAUCUGGGAAUAAAGUGAGGCACGUGUUCCUUUUUGUAUGUACCAUAUGAAUAAGCAUCGGCUAACUCCGUGCCAGCAGCCGCGGUAAUACGGAGGAUGCGAGCGUUAUCCGGCUUUCUUUGGUUUUAAGGGUGGGUAGGUGGUUAAUUAAGUCAUCGGUGAAAGUUUGGGGCGCAACCAUAAAAUUGCCGUUGAAUCUGGGUGACUUGAGUAGAUGUGAGGUAGGCGGAAUGCGUGGUGUAGCGGUGAAAUGCAUAGAGAUCACGCAGAACUCCGAGUGCGAAGGCAGCUUAC